CUGCAAUCUCAGCCAGCCAAGCUGAGUAAGGUUAAAGAAGGGAGCCUCUUCCAAAGACAUUGCUGCUCUAAGAGCUCCACACAGUCUGCCUUGAAUGUGCGAUCCUAUCAUUUCGAUAAAGCAUCAACUUCUUGAAAUCACAACAGCUCUCCAUAGGAAAAUAACAAGGGAGAAGUGCAUGAGAAGAUGAAUCCUCAAAGACAUGCUGCAAACAAAAAAGCAAGCCAGCAAUUCCACAUGCCUUGAGCUACAUCAGACUACCCUUGUUAAGGUGAAUUUUCAGCCAUCUUUUUCCCAAAGGCAUAUGCAAAGAGUAUCUCAGGCUCUUGUGAAGCAUCUCCUCUGACUAGC